ensembl:snRNA U1 U1 spliceosomal RNA
AUACUUACCUGGCAGGGGAGAUACCAUGAUCAUGAAGGCGGUUUUUCCAGGUCGAAGCUUAUCCAUUGCAGUCCCGAUAUGCUGACCCCUGUGAUUUCCCCUAGGAAACUGAACUGCAUAAUUUGCGGUAGUGGGGUACAGCGUUCACGCUUUCCCCUG